GUUCAUGGUGGUGUACAGUUGUGCCCCCUACACAAGAUCAAAAUGACAAGCUUUGUAAAUAAAUUUUCCCUUUGCAAUAUUCUAGUGCAAGAAAAAUAGAUGGUUCGAAGAAGUUGAAUAUAAAUAGGAUUUGAGCAAACCAUAUAUAACAUAAAAAUGAAAAUGCAGAAACAAACAUGAAUGGGAGAAAGAGAUGAUUCACCCCUUUCUUUUUUGUCAAGCUGCUCUUCCACAAGAAUCUUUCUCUUCUUUUCUCAGAUAUGAAAUUCCACAAGAUUAUUUCUCUUCUUUUCUAUCUCAGAUCUGAAAAAACACAAAUUGAGAAAUCAAAAUCACAGAAUCAGAGAACUGGGAUAUAAUAACUGGGGGAGGAAGAGGGGGGAGGGGAGCAACAAAUAGGGAUUGAGCAAACCAUAUAUAACAUAAAAAUGAAAAUGCAGAAACAAACAUGAUUGGAAGAAAGAGAUGAUUCACCCCUUUCUUUUUCGUCAAGCUCUUCCACAAGAUCUUUCUCUUCUUUUCUAUCUCAGAUAAGAAAUUCCACAAGAUUAUUUCUCUUCUUUUCUAUCUCAGAUCUGAAAAAACACAAAUUGAGAAAUCAAAAUCACAGAAUCAGAGAACUGGGAUAUAAUAACUGGGGGGAGGAGGGGGGUGGGGAGCAACCUAGAUUGGGGAUGGUGAUGCUGGACGACGAGCUUCUCCACUCCACGAGCGUCGCCUGGACCUGGAACUCCUGCUACU
rnacentral:lncRNA from 1 species